GACUUUUACGUUACUUUCCAUUUUCCUUCCCUACUCCUUAUAAAUUAGAAAUUAGGGUUCCUCCUAUGUCACUAUGUGCGACUGUUGCAGUACUGCCGAGUGCCGACGCUCCUGUGACGCCUUCUUCCUCAUCUCGUCGCUGUCGCCGAUCGCUCAUCCUUCUUCCUCGGGUUAGUGGUUACCUUCUUCCUCAAAUUUAGUUGAGCUGAGACUUAUUUCUACAUAUAGCAGCUACAUAGUACUAUUUUUCUUACUUUUAAUUUGUUAGGAAAAUUUAAACAAAUUAUAAAAAAGAAGAAGGAUCAUAAGAUGGAAGAGACGAUGAAACCUGCAUUGUUAGAAGGAUUAAUGACUAAGAAAUUCUUUGCAGGAUGUGGGGUCCACGAAAAUAGGAGAAAAAAAUGAGAAAACAUCUUCUGCUUAGAGUGUUGUCAAAGCUUUUGCCCUCACUGCCUUCCUUCUCAUCAUUUUUGUCCUCUUCUCCAUGUCUCUCUCUAUAUAAUUAUGUAGCGGAUAAAACUUCAAUUAUUCAUUUGAGGUUUUUAUUUCCUAAUUGAGAAUUUAAUUAUUUACUCAUAAAGCUUCCUCUCUUUUAUUAACAUGUCUUAUAUAUGUGCUAUUUUGUUAUUUUAUUGAAUUUAAUUUUAUUUAUACGAGAAUAAGUUUGAAUUUUUAAGAGUAUAAAUAUGGAACUAAGAAGCUUGCUUCAUAAGGUAAUUCUUGUUAGGUGGUAUCAAAAUUUCUCCUUCUCUUCUUCUUUGCUUUUUUGGCAGGUUGGAAGUGAGAGGGAUGGGAACUCGCUCUAAUUUGUGUAUAUUUUUGAAAUUAAAAGAAGUACUUUUUUUAAAAAUUAUUUAUUUAUUAAAUUAAUUUAAACGGAGCGAUUUGGGCAUUGAGAAUUCAUAUAAUUGUUCCAAAUUUGCUUGGACUUAGACCAACUGUUGGUAAUUAUUUGCCCUUCUCAAUCCUUAGCUAAAUUGUGUUUGUAUUUCCAUUUUCUGUCUCAGGAUCAGAAUGCAUGCCAAAGAGAUGCCAAAAAGCUUUCAAUUCUCAGAAUCAGAAUGCAUGCCAAUUAGUCUCUAUUAUAGCUUUCUGAUUUUCAUAUGGAAAUUAGAAUGGAAAAAGCUUUUCUUUCUUCUUGUUUGAAGUAUUUAAUGGCACGUCUGAAAUCUUUCAGUGGCACGUAUAUUAUAUUCAGUUACAUUAGUAGUCCACAUCGGAUAUAAAAAUCUUGAACCGUUAAUAACCGAAAAACUAAACCGCAAAAAACCGAACCGAACUUUGAAAAAACUACACCGAACCGUAAAUACUUUGGUUUGAUUUGGUUAUUAAUAUUACAAAAUCGAAAAUCGAUAAACCGAUCCGUACUUUCAUAAUAACUGAC
rnacentral:lncRNA from 1 species